rnacentral:rRNA from 1 species
GUGUCAGCCGCCGCGGUAAAACGUAGGAGGCAAGCGUUAUCCGGAGUAACUGGGCGUAAAGGGCGGGUAGGUGGUUGUGUAAGUUGGUUAUGAAAGCUCCUGGCUAAACUGGGAGAGGUUGACCAAGACUGCAGAACUUGAGUGGAGAAGAGGUAAACGGAAUUCCGCGUGUAGUGGUGAAAUGCGUAGAGAUGCGGAAGAACACCAGUGGCGAAGGCGGUUUACUGGUCUCCAACUGACACUGAGCCGCGAAAGCAUGGGUAGCGAACGGGAUUAGAAACCCUUGUAGUCC